UCCGUUCAUACGUCUUUGAAAUUAAAUUAUUUUCUCUAUCAUCAACACUUACGUCAUUAAUAAUAUUAUUAUUUACUAAUAUCUAAUUAUAACUAUUAAUUAUUAUUUACUAGUGUAACCGUUUUCACGUUAAUCGGGAACAAACCUCUUUUAUUUGUAUAAUAUUUUAAUGAUAAAAAUAUUUAAUAUUACUCCUUUACGGUCGACUAUAAUAUAAUCAUCGUAUUUUUUCGUUACUGAAAUACCUAUACCUACCAUACAUAGCGAUCAGCACUGCGUAAAAGAUAAAAAUAUUAAAAAAAAAAAAUAACACUAAAAACCCACUUCGAUGAUGCGAAAUGGAAUGAAUGACCGAGUAACCGACAAAAUUAUCGAUUAGCGGAUCAGUGAUAACAACAAAUGUGUGUGGGCACGGAAGAACGAUGUACGCGAAUAUUCUAGAAAAAUCUAGAAAAAAUAACCGACAGUAGUGAAACUGACUAUAAAAUUAUCCGAAGGAAUAUUUUUAUACAAAGAAAACGACUAUCUACAAUCUACAUCCUCUGAAAUGAUCGGUGCAUACUUCAUAUCAUGACAAGGUCCACAUCGAUGUUAUCGGCGUACUGACGGUAUAGGUACUGCUUACUAUAAUAUGUAGAUCGAUAAUCUAUUAAUACAUUUAAUAAUCAACCCGAUAACGAAAACAAUAAUAAUCCAAUGCCUAUAACACAUUUUGGGUUUUUACGUUUCUUAUUUAUUCAAUUUUUUAUUAUUACUAUUUACUAUAGUAGCAUAAUAAAUAUAUAAAAAUUCUACAGCUG